GCUUCUUCUCGGCCCUUUUGGCUAAGAUCAAGUGUAGUAUCUGUUCUUAUCAGUUUAAUAUCUGAUAUGUCCUCUAUCAGGGGACUAUAUAUUAAAUGCAUUUUUGCAGACAGGAGCUGAAACAGGAGCUUGCUCCAUUCACUCCACGCAUUGGCCCAGUAUUGCAGUCUAGCUGGGAGUGGUGCGCCUUCU
ensembl:snRNA U2 U2 spliceosomal RNA